AGCAGCCGCGGUAAUUCCAGCUCCAAUAGCGUAUAUUAAAGUUGUUGCAGUUAAAAAGCUCGUAGUUGAAUUUCGGGAUUGACACAUCGGUCGUGCCUUAAGGGGUGUGAACUGGUGUAGUCAAUUUCUCACCUUCUGGAGAACCGCGAUGUCCUUAAUUGGGUGCCGCGAGGAACCAGGACCUUUACUUUGAAAAAAUUAGAGUGUUUAAAGCAGGCAUUUUUGCUUGAAUACAUUAGCAUGGAAUAAUAAAAUAGGACGGCAUGAUUCUAUUUCUAUUUUGUUGGUUUCUAGGAUCACCGUAAUGAUUAAUAGGGAUAGUUGGGGGCAUUAGUAUUCAAUUGUCAGAGGUGAAAUUCUUGGAUUUAUUGAAGACUAACUACUGCGAAAGCAUUUGCCAAGGAUGUUUUCAUUAAUCAAGAACGAAAGUUAGGGGAUCGAAGACGAUCAGAUACCGUCGUAGUCUUAACCAUAAACUAUGCCGACUAGGAAUCAGACGAUGUUAAUUUUUUAAUGACUCGUUUGGCACCUUACG
rnacentral:rRNA from 1 species